GUGGGGAAUAUUGGGCAAUGGGGGAAACCCUGACCCAGCAACGCCGCGUGAGGGAAGAAGGUUUUCGGAUUGUAAACCUCUGUCCUUGGUGACGAAGGAAGUGACGGUAACCAAGGAGGAAGCCCCGGCUAACUACGUGCCAGCAGCCGCGGUAAUACGUAGGGGGCAAGCGUUGUCCGGAAUGACUGGGCGUACAGGGCGUGUAGGCGGCCGAUUAAGUCUGGAGUGAAAGUCCUGCUUUCAAGGUGGGAAUUGCUUUGGAGACUGGUUGGCUUGAGUGCGGAAGAGGUAAGUGGAAUUCCCAGUGUAGCGGUGAAAUGCGUAGAGAUUGGGAGGAACACCAGUGGCGAAGGCGACUUACUGGGCCGUAACUGACGCUGAGGCGCGAAAGCGUGGGGAGCGAACAGGAUUAGAUACCCGGGUAGUCC
rnacentral:rRNA from 1 species